rfam:Ciona savignyi cont_29095, whole genome shotgun sequence.
GUCAGGAUGGCCGAGUGGUCUAAGGCGCCAGACUCAAGAACCGAGGUUCUUCGCCGACAUGAGGUGUUGAUUAUUCUGGUCUCCGAAUGGAGGCGUGGGUUCGAAUCCCACUUCUGACA